GGCGCUCGCGCCCGUGCCCGCGCAACCUAGCCUGCUGGCCGGGGGGCGGGGCGAGCGAGCCGCGGCGCUUCCGCUUUACACGCCCCAGCCGGCGACCGGUUCCAUCUGGCUCGGGCCACUCUGACACCUUUAGUUUCGGCAAGGGAUAUUGGGGUGGCGAAGGGGAGGCGGGGGCCCGAAGGCUUCGGAAAACGAUGGGGGAGGGGGCAGAGGAUACCCGUCGAAGCCCCCCCCUCCCCCAACAUUUCGAUAUUGGAAUCACUUUCCUUCUUCCUCGGGCCAGCCUUUGCUCUGUCCCCUCAGGUCAACUCAAGGUAGACAGUGUGGCGACUGGAGAGGUCGGGGAACAAGCUUUGUUUCAGCUAAGGGGAAAACAAGCGUUCACAGGAGUCCCCUGACACCUCCCACUCGGAAGAUAGCUAACGGGGGUCCUGCCAACCCUUCCCAUCCAACUUCCAUCUGAAAAGGAUUUUCUGCUAAAGUUGGGUCCAUGGCCAUCCAGCACCUGUAAGGCCGGCAGGAGCGUCUGCCCUCUACUCAGUUAAAGCCUGAAGUCGUUUCCUUUCGAUGGCCCUUAGGAGGCCCAAAAGAGGGGCGACAGAACAUGAUGUUGACACGGGCUGGGCGCCCCCAGAAGCCCGGGAACAAACGUUUCUACUUUCCAGGUCCACUGGUGUUUGGUGUACCCAUGUGACUAAUUUGUCCAAAGAGAGGUCUCAGCUGAAAUGAAACCUCCUCAGAAAAAUUUGUUCCUGACAAAUUAUAACUCAAAAAUCAAAAAUUUCUAAGGCCUUUGUUAUUCUCUUUAUCACAGCAUUGUACUCAUUUUCUUCU
rnacentral:lncRNA from 10 species